rnacentral:rRNA from 1 species
AUGCUUGGUGGAGAUCCUAGUAGCUAUUGCCAUGAUUUCUUUGUGCCCAAUGCUAUUGAUGCUUGUUGUGUGGGGAGAGUCAUUAUGCCCCAUUGUUAUUUACACAUGGCCUCUCGCCAAUACAUUGAUGAUAUUUUGCUCAUAUCUUGCUUUCGUGCUUGUGAUAUGUCAUAUGCAUUGUGUAUGCCCACUAUUUGCACACAUGACAUGCUUGCCAUGAUUCCUUCUAGUAUGUUGCAUCUUCGCACUACUAUCUUGCUUGACUUGAUCACUAUGAUUAAUUGCCUUGUCGCAUCACCCAUGUUCCAUUCUUACUCGCUUUCUUGGGUUGAUGACGUAUAUGUUCAUGCCUUUCACAUGAUAUAUCUUGAUCAUCGUCGCUUGUCUGCAUUAGUUGCAACUCUCAUAUCCACUUGUAGUUAG